rnacentral:rRNA from 1 species
GGACUACACGGGUAUCUAAUCCUGUUUGCUCCCCACGCUUUCGCACCUCAGCGUCAGUAUCUGCCCAGGUCGCCGCCUUCGCCGCUGGUGUUCCUCCCGAUAUCUACGAAUUUCACCUCUACACCGGGAAUUCCGCGACCCUCUUCAGUACUCGAGCCCGCCAGUUUCGAAUGCACUUCCUCGGUUGAGCCGAGGGAUUUCACACCCGACUUAACAGGCCGCCUACGUGCGCUUUACGCCCAAUGAUUCCGAGCAACGUUUGCACCCUCCGUAUUACCGCGGCUGCUGGCAC